UAGAAUUUUAAUUCUGGUUUGGUGAGUUAGUUAUAUUAUAGGGAUACACAUGGUAAAUAAAAUUAGAUAGUGAGGAUUAAGCUUAUUAAUUAUUUAAAAUUUAGAAAAUUUAAAUGAGGGUAAAUUAGCAUAUAAUUUGGUAAUAAUAUGAAAGGAAAUUCACAACUUCAGUGAGGAGGAUUAAAUAAAUUUUGAAAGAAGGUUUUGGUUAAUAAUAUUUAAGACUGGAAAAAUGGGUGCCAGCAUCAGCGGUUAUACCUAUGGUUUAAAUUUACUACUAUGGAAGCUAAAAUUUAAUAAUAAAUUUAUUAAUAAGUUAUCUUGAAAUAUAAGGCAGUUUAAUGUAAAUAGUUUUUAGAGCUAUGGAAUUUAGAAGUUUUAAUUAAUAAGUCUAAUUUAUAAACUAGGAUUAGAUACCCUAUUAUUUUAGAGUUAAAGUUUUAAGCCGGGGAAUUAUUUUUUUUAUGAGCAAUUUUAAAAUUAAAAAUCCAAAGAAUAUGGCGGUGUUUUAAAUCAUGUUAGGGGAGCCUGUGAAUUAAAUUGAUGAUCCGCAGAUACCUUACCUUAAAAGAAUAAAUAAAGUUUAUAUAUCACCGUUGACAACAUAUUUUGAGAAAAUAAUAAAAAUGGUUUAAUUAUAUAGAGUGUGGACUUCAGGUAACAUAUAGCUUAUGUUAAGGGUAAUUAUGGGCUACAAUUAAUUUUACUUGUUUUUAGAUAUGAAAAUAAUUUUAUAAGAGUGGACUUAACAGUAAAUAUUUUAAGAAAGAUAUGUUGAAAUAGUAAUAAAAUACGUACAAACCGCCCGUCACUCUCAUAAUAUCUUAAAUUGAGAUAAGUCGUAACAAGGUAAGGGUACCUGAAGGUGUCCUUAGA
rnacentral:ncRNA from 1 species